CUGGCAGUUGCUCAUCAUCUUUGACAGUUGAUAUCGGAAAACGUUUUGCUGUCUUUGUCCUCCAAUUCCCAGUGCACCCCACUUCAUCCUUGAGAUAGUGCCCCUGGCAACGAGACCCCUGGACCAUCCAAGCUUGUCAUGUGAUCUACCAAUUCCCAGUUGCAUUUUACUUAUUUUAAAAUUAAUUUUAUUGGUACACCUUUGAUAUACAUAAUGACCACAUUCAUCAUAGGAAUUCCCAUCCCUCCCUUCAACCUUCUUCUCCUCCUUAUUUACAAAGGCUUUGUUUCAGUUGUUUUGUGCCCAUCUUGGUCUGGCUAGAUACAGUCCAGUUUCUUUCAUAUUUGACCAUGAUGGAUUGACAGCAGAUAUUUCAGCCUCAAUUUUCAUCAAUAGUUCCUGAAACAUUAAGUGAGAGGACAUGUUGUUCCCCAUUUGCUGCACCGUGUCACACUGGAUUGGCAUUAAUAAUCGUCUACAUCGUCCAUGUGGUACUAUUCCUCCACUGUCUAAAGGAAAUAUGUCUAAAGAAGAUGAAGAAUUUGUCCUGGAAACUUGGGACUCUCGUGCAUUGGUAGUCGGGCUGCGCAGCACUAGAGACUCAUGUUCAUUCUUUGAAUGAAGUCUGGUGGGAGCAGUAGCAAACAUCACCCUUCACCGUGUGGAACCAGACCAUUGACUGCAGUACAAAGUUUCUGACCUCUGUAAACAGGCCAAAACAUUUCUGUGUGUGUCCUGGCAGGGUGUUCACACUUGCUAUGGAUGGAAUGCUUGUGUCUCUUCAAAACUCCUGCAUGGAAGCCCUAACCUGCAAAGGAACUGUAUUGGAAAGUGGGCCUUGGGAAGAAAAUUAGACCACAAUGAGGCCACAAGAGUUGACCUGCUUACGAUGGGAUUAAUGUUCUUUUAAAAGGAGGAAGAAGGACCAGAGGAGUCACUGUCUCUACCAGAGGAAGGCACAGCAAGAAGGCAGAUGGUCACAGGUUAGGAAGAGAACCUUACUCAGGAACUAAGUUGUCAGCUCCCUUGAUCUUGGACUUGCCAGCCUCCAGACUAGGAGAAAUACAUGACUGUUCUUUAAGCCACUGAACGUAGGGAAUUUUGAUACAACAGCUGGAGUUCGUUUAUUCUCUAAUGCUACUCAGUUACUGAGGUUUUAAUCUUUUAGUUAAGCCUUUUACUCAGUGUUUCUGCUUGCCUUGAUUUGGUUCUUGUCUUACUUAUGACCUAGAGAGUCUACCAGGUCAAAAACUAUUUGCUGUUCCGUGGAAAGGUACUUCUCCAAUAUUUCCAAGUUUGAAGACUGAUGGUAGAACAUUUCCCUAACAAGGAAUUAGUUUUCCUUAUUACAUUUCCCUAUAAUUAUUCACUAACACUGUCUUAAAAUUAUUUCACUUCUUCUCCCUUGUCUGUGCUUCUCCCCUGGAAUCUGAGCUCUGUGAAAGUUAGGACUUGUUUUCUUUUCCUUUUGCAUCAUUAACCCCUAGCGCCAUACCCAGACCCAACAGGUCUGAAUAGACGACUGAAUAAGGAACAGUCCUGGACGUGAUAAAGGUCAAUAGGUAAGAAGAGGACCUUAAAUUCAUUGCUAGCUUGGUCCUUGUAAAGAGCAAAGCAAUGCCCACACAGAAAUCUGCAAACUGGAGUCCUCAUAGCAGCGUUACUUUUAAUUGCCAAACUUGGAAGCAACCAGUAUAUAAUCUGUGGUGCUUCUAGAUGAUAGAAUAUUCUUCAGUGCUGGAAAGAAAUCAAGCGAUCAAGUUAUAGAAAAAUGUGAAUGAAGUGAAAAUGAUUAUUACUAGGUAAAGAAGGAAGUCUGGUUCUAACUAUAUUACAAUCUGUAAAGAGUAAAUUACAGAGAAAUUAAAAGGUCAGUGGCUACAAGUGCUUAGAGAAGAGGAAGCAAUGAAUAGGUGGAGCACAGAGAAUUAGUGAAAAUACUCUGUAUGACACUACAGUGAAGGGUAUACGCCAUUAUACGUUAGCCCAACCCCACGGAAUGUAUAACAACAAGAGUAAAUAUUAAAGUGAUCUGUGGACUCUGGGCCAUAGUGAUGCACCAGUAUAGGUCCACCAAUUGCAAAAAGUGUAGUAAUCUGGUAAAUGAUGCUGACAAAGGGCUGUGUGUGUGUGUAAUACAUGUGUGAGAAUGGGCAUAUGGGAAAUCUGUGUAUUUUUCUCUGUUUUGCUGUGAACCAAAAACUGCUCUAAAAAUAAUCUUUAAAAAGGUAAGGAAUUCUUUAGAUGCUGUUUUUCUGCAGGUGUCAUUUCCAUCCCCCUUUCUAUUUACUGCCUGGAUGGUCUCACACUCACUUCCUGUGUUGCCUUAGUCUGGAUGUUGUAAAAUGGCCAGUAAUGAUCUUAGGAGUUUAUGGAGGAUAUUGGGGAACUGCUUGGCCAAUCUUGUACUCUCAAAUAAAUUAUAAUUUAUACUAAGAAUUUAGAUUCAAAACCAAGAAAGAAUUUAGCACAGACAGAGAUUAUA
rnacentral:lncRNA from 1 species